GACGAACGCUGGCGGCGUGCUUAACACAUGCAAGUCGAACGGAAAGGCCCUGCUUUUGUGGGGUGCUCGAGUGGCGAACGGGUGAGUAACACGUGAGUAACCUGCCCUUGACUUUGGGAUAACUUCAGGAAACUGGGGCUAAUACCGGAUAGGAGCUCCUGCUGCAUGGUGGGGGUUGGAAAGUUUCGGCGGUUGGGGAUGGACUCGCGGCUUAUCAGCUUGUUGGUGGGGUAGUGGCUUACCAAGGCUUUGACGGGUAGCCGGCCUGAGAGGGUGACCGGCCAGAUGGGGACGAAGACAGGGCCCAGCCUCCAAGGGGAGGCAAGAGGGGGAAGUAUGACGGAGGGGCGGGAGGCUGGGUACGGCCCGCCCGGGGGAGGAAUACGGGCUUUGGGGUUGAAAACCACUGUGGCCGGUAAGAAGGAGGGAGUGACGGUAAUGAAUAAGAAAGCCCCGGCUAACUACGUG
rnacentral:rRNA from 1 species